rnacentral:rRNA from 1 species
UACGUAGGGGGCUAGCGUUGUCCGGAAUCAUUGGGCGUAAAGAGCGUGUAGGCGGUCCGGUAAGUCCGCUGUGAAAGUCGGGGGCUCAACCCUCGAAUGCCGGUGGAUACUGUCGGGCUAGAGUGCGGAAGAGGCGAGUGGAAUUCCUGGUGUAGCGGUGAAAUGCGCAGAUAUCAGGAGGAACGCCUAUUGCGAAGGCAGCUCGCUGGGACGUUACUGACGCUGAGACGCGAAAGCGUGGGGAGCAAACAGG